rnacentral:rRNA from 1 species
GACGAACGCUGGCGGCGUGCUUAACACAUGCAAGUCGAACGGAAAGGCCCUGCUUUUGUGGGGUGCUCGAGUGGCGAACGGGUGAGUAACACGUGAGUAACCUGCCCUUGACUUUGGGAUAACUUCAGGAAACUGGGGCUAAUACCGGAUAGGAGCUCCUGCUGCAUGGUGGGGGUUGGAAAGUUUCGGCGGUUGGGGAUGGACUCGCGGCUUAUCAGCUUGUUGGUGGGGUAGUGGCUUACCAAGGCUUUGACGGGUAGCCGGCCUGAGGGGGUGACCGGCCACAUGGGGACUGAGAUACGGCCCAGACUCCUACGGGAGGCAGCAGUGGGGAAUAUUGCACAAUGGGCGGAAGCCUGAUGCAGCAACGCCGCGUGCGGGAUGACGGCCUUCGGGUUGUAAACCGCUUUCGCCUGUGACGAAGCGUGAGUGACGGUAAUGGGUAAAGAAGCACCGGCUAACUACGUG